AGAAACUCACAAAGCAGGGGUGAGACCUCUGCUCGACAGCAAAGGCAGGCAGCGUCCCUCAUCCCUGCACCACGAGGGCGUCACAGCCCCUUCCCGGGUGGCCACAGCCACAGGGCACCCUGCGCCCUCUCCGGGCCUCGCCUUCCUCUUCUGAAACAGGACGGUGAUCUCAUCCCCCUCACAGGCUGAUGCAGAGACCUAAGGAGCACACUGGCUGUACACGGAGGAAAGCACCUCGGUUUCCUGAAGCAGUGUGGCAUUCGAGUCUGAUUUCCAGCAACUCCACUGCCCCCGCAGCCAGACUUUGCAUGAGCAGAGUUCGCAAACCUUCUAGAAUCUGGCGAGGAACAGAGGAAAUCAGCUAAAGGGCGUAACAGGAAGUGGGGCCUGGACCGGGAACCUGGUUCCUCCGCUCUUUCCCUAUAGGUACAGAAGGAACAGGCCCAGGAAUGAGUAAGAAUGUUUUUCUCUACAAAUAACUCACACCCAAGCCUCAAGCAGGGUUAGGGAGUGAGGCAUUGUGUCAUCACCUACCACAGGAAGCCCAGAGCCAGGGCAGACUCCAGACACGGCACGCAGGGUUGUGACUCUACACACCUGGCGCCUGGGGCACUGGUGUCUUCCAGGCAGCUCUGCCAGGUGUCACAUCUGGACAAGACAGAGAGGUACUAUCUUCCCCUUAGGAGUGAUGAACUCCUUUCCAGAAGCUUCCUGCAGGCUUCUCCUCAUGCCUCACGUCUAGAAUAGAGUGAUCUGCAUGUUCCAAGAACAGUCACUGGUUGGAGAGUUGGUAUCACCGUGACUGGGUGAGCCUGAUGGCUCUAAACUCUGGCUGUACAUCAGAAGCACACACUGAGCUUCUGAAAAGGAGAGGCCUGGGCCCCACUUCCAGAGAUUCAGUUCAAUGGAUCUCCUGUAGUACCUGAGCAUCAGAACUUCGUAGCCCCCGAAGGUGCAUGCUACGGCCAGAAAGAAACUCAGGGAAAAAUGGAUGUUGCAGAGACGUCGCCACAAAUGAAACCCACAGCGACAGGAGAAAGCGGCUCGCGUCCCGUUGAAGAAGAUGCUUCCCUGGAUUACUGUGCAGAGUUGAAGCUUUACCUUUCACCUGGAGAACGCGUGGUUCUGUGACCAAAACAGUGGCAGCUCCUCCACCAGCCCCUGCUGCUCCCAUCCCUUCCAGGGAAGAAACUUUUGUUUCUGUGAUGCCAGCGCAGGCAUUCAGAGCAAAGCCACUUCCAGGAAAUUCUAAGAAUGAGGUGCGGGCACCACUGGGCUGGCGCAUGAGAGUCAUGUGCCUCAGACUCCACGCCCCCUGCUGACCGUGCCCACAGGCUCCCAGGUUAUCUGUGGCGGAGGUCAGGGUCUGCUGGGCAGGGUCAGGGAUGUCUGGUUGGGCUGAAGCAGAUGCAGGGGUCCUGCGGUCACCACUGCCUCCGAUGAAGCUCUGAAUGGUCUUCUCUGUUCUUCCAUACGGUCAUGUGCCACACAACAACAUUUCCAACCACAGACAGCGUAUACUAUGGUUGUCCUGUAAGAGUAUAAGGGAGCUGAAAAAUUCCUAUCAUGUGAUGACAUUGUAGCCACCUCAACGUCUUAGCACAAUUAUAUAUAUAUACACACACACAUAUAUAUACUUUAUAUGUAGAGAGAGAGAGUGUGGCCUACGUGUGCAGUGUUUAUAAAGUCUGCAGUAGUCAUAGUGAUGUCCUAGGUCUUCACAUUCACUCCCGACUCACCCACUGACUCACAAGAGCAGCUGCCAGUCCUGCAAGCUCCACUCAUGGUAAGUGCCUUGCACAGGUACUGUUGUUCAUCUUUCGUAUUGUUCUUUCACGGCACCUUUUCUCUGUUUAGAUACACACACGCCACUGUGUCAUAAUUGCCGACAGCACUCAGCGCAGUGACAUGCAGGUCUCAGCCUGGCACGACAGGCUGUCUCAUAUCGCCAGGUGUAAAGCAGCUCAUAGCACGCGGGUGUGUGGAAGUUCACUCUGCGAUGCUCACACAACAGCAAAUUGCCUGAGGACCCAUUUCUCAGAAGGUAUCCUUGUCCUUAAGCAACACAUGACUGACAUUUGUAAAAGGGGCAAGAGACAGCUUGUGCUUCUCAGAAAAGGUGCCCAUUUUCAACUGGUUUAGGAAAUUUAGAAAGAGGGAGGAGGAGUAUUAAAGUGGCUAAGAGUGUUUCUUUCCAGUUGGUUGAUUCUGCACCUCACACACCUAAGGAGUCUGGGAAACAUCCUGGGUAGCAGUGGUGGAGAGUGGUCGUAAUUUACAUUGAAAUGGGGAUCACCACUGCAUAUACAGAUGGCCUUGCUAGGUGCUGAGGAAGCUCUGAUGCCCCCGCGAGGAUCAAACAUGAGUCGUGGAGACAGGACAUGGUGACAUGUAGGAGAACACAGUUGAAUGCCAGAUUAGCCUUCGAGCUUCCUGAGAACUGAGACAACGAGGUCCCCUCCAUCUUUGAGUCAGCCUGGCCUCGGGGACAGAGGAUGGAUUUUGGAGUCGGACAAGCCCCGGCUGAGGCUCCCUUCAGUCAUGACCUUCCAAGACGAGAAGCUUCACGGCAGGCAAUGAACAGAGACGGCGUCAUCUCCAAGGCUCAGUGGAGCGAGUCACGUCACCCUCACUUAGCUGCAUGGGUAAGUAAGCCCAGGCCUAGGGAGCUAGCGAGGGGCGGGGCCUGAAUUUGAACUCCAGCGGGCUGGCUGCAGGCCCUGCUGCCUCAGGACCCCCACCACAGGGAAGCUCACAGCCUCUCAGCAUCUAGCCCAACCAGGCCAGUCAAGAGGUUGGCAAAUUCUAAAAACCCCCGAUCACCAGCUGGUCUGGUCCCUCAGGCCUGGCUGUUCUCAGUCUGCCCCCUGGCUGUCCCCGGGGCCUCCCCAGCAGGGCCUCCAAAGGCACCCCUCCCACGCUUCACACCUGCCUGGGGUGCCUCUUUUCUCCUUGAAUUUAACUACAUCCAACAUCUCCUGAGCUGUUUGUGUGUGCUGGGCAGUGCACUAGGCUCUACAAAGAUAAGUUAGAAACAGUCCCUGUGGCAGGGAACUCACAACUUAGUCUUGGAGAACACAAUCUUGAACCCAGAGAAAGCAUGGCAAAUGUCUGCAAACACAUUCAGGGGGUCCGAGGGACUGACGAGGUAAGCACAGCCCGUGGGUUCCAUGCUUCAGAGCCUGGGGAGCACUGCCGCUGUGGAGGCGUCUGCACCACACGCUCGACAUUUCAUUCCAACCCUCACAACCGUCCUCCAAGAGAGCCAUUAUCGCUCCCACUUUUUGCAGAUGAGAAAAUCAAAUUACAGCCUGGUGACUUUGACCAUGGCCAUGCAGCUAGCCAUGGGCAGUGCCAAAUUUCAAAUACAUGUUCAUCUGGAUCCAUGUCAGCCUGAUUCCCACCAUUCCAGAUCCUCCCCUCAGUGCAGCCCAACCCUCUUUCAGAGCUGACGUCUCUGUAACCACCCAGCUCCUAAGUGGAGGGUUCAGGUUCAGGCUCAGGUGCCCCGUCCCCAAGCCUGCUCUUAGACCUGGCACAGAGCUGUUUAAGAGUAACUGGCCAAGGCUCUGGUGAAUGUGAGCCUCUGGGAGGUCCUGAAGAGGACAAAUGAAGGGUGUUUAUGUGGAAAGGAAGGAGAGAACUUCAUGGGCUGCGGUGAGGACAGGAAGACUCAGGCUUGCCUGGGAAACAGCAUCUG
rnacentral:lncRNA from 1 species